rnacentral:rRNA from 1 species
CCAGUAGUCAUAUGCUGUCUCAAAGAUUAAGCCAUGCAUGUCUCAGUACAAGCCAAAUUAAGGUGAAACCGCGAAAGGCUCAUUAAAUCAGUUAUGGUUCCUUAGAUCGUACCCACAUUUACUUGGAUAACUGUGGUAAUUCUAGAGCUAAUACAUGCAAACAGAGCUCCGACCGGAGACGGAAGGAGCGCUUUUAUUAGAUCAAAACCAAUCGGUGGCGGGUCUCCCGUCACCGUACACCUUGGUGACUCUGAAUAACUUAUUGCUGAUCGCACGGUCUCGCACCGGCGACGCAUCUUUCAAAUGUCUGCCUUAUCAACUGUCGAUGGUAGGUUCUGCGCCUACCAUGGUUGUAACGGGUAACGGGGAAUCAGGGUUCGAUUCCGGAGAGGGAGCCUGAGAAACGGCUACCACAUCCAAGGAAGGCAGCAGGCGCGCAAAUUACCCACUCCCGGCACGGGGAGGUAGUGACGAAAAAUAACGAUACGGGACUCAUCCGAGGCCCCGUAAUCGGAAUGAGUACACUCUAAACCCUUUAACGAGGAUCAAUUGGAGGGCAAGUCUGGUGCCAGCAGCCGCGGUAAUUCCAGCUCCAAUAGCGUAUAUUAAAGUUGUUGCGGUUAAAAAGCUCGUAGUCGAAUUUGUGUCCCGCGCCGCCGGUUCAUCGCUCGCGGUGUCAACUGGCGUGUCCGCGGGACGUCCUGCCGGUGGGCUUAGCCCCCCGUGGGCGGCCCAAUCUCAAUCCCACCGCGGUGCUCUUCACUGAGUGUCGAGGUGGGCCGGCACGUUUACUUUGAACAAAUUAGAGUGCUUAAAGCAGGCUAAAACAUCGCCUGAAUACUGUGUGCCAUGGAAUAAUGGAAUAGGACCUCGGUUCUAUUUUGUUGGUUUUCGGAACCCCGAGGUAAUGAUUAAUAGGAACGGAUGGGGGCAUUCGUAUUGCGACGUUAGAG